ensembl:lncRNA
GCUUGGGGGUUGUCGAGGUGGUGGCGCCGGCUUGGCAGCGUGGCUGCUGGGGCGUGCCAGCCUCAGAGUUCUCCUGGUGAGACCUCCGCCCACCUGACGUCCUGGAAAACCCAACAGCGGUUUUCUUGUCCAUCUCCGGUUUAUUUAAUACAUUGUUAAAAAGAGGACGAGAGUUGGUGAUGGACAGGGAGGCCUGGCGUGCUGCGAUUCAUGGGGUCGCAAAGAGUCGGACACGACUGAGUGACUGAACUGAACUGAACUGAAUGCAACAAUUUAUAUAUAAUGCUAAGGAGAAACUCCCUGGACCAGGGGUGGAACCCACAGCCCCUGCAUUGGUAGUGCAGCCUUAGUCACUGGAACGUUAGGGAUGUCCUGGACAUCUGUCUCCAUGUGCUGCCUGCAUUCACUGCCAGCCCUACUGUAUGAGACAACUCCCAGUUUUUUCUGCCAGUUACAAUGGGUUUGAUCACUGGUGGGAGAACUAAGAUCACAAGUGGAGCAACUGAGCCUGCAUGCUGCAACUGCUGACCUGUAGACCUGCACGGUGUGAUGAAGGUCCUGCAUGCUGUGACCAAGACCAGCCAAAUAGAUAAAUAAAUAUUUUUUAAAAUAAACAGUUACAAAUAGGUUGGGGUCUUCUGCCAAAUACAAGCUUUGGG